UACGUAGGGGGCUAGCGUUGUCCGGAAUCAUUGGGCGUAAAGAGCGCGUAGGCGGCCCGGUAAGUCCGUUGUGAAAGUCAAAGGCUCAACCUUUGAAAGCCGAUGGAUACUGCCGGGCUAGAGUCCGGAAGAGGCGAGUGGAAUUCCUGGUGUAGCGGUGGAAUGCGCAGAUAUCAGGAGGAACACCAAUAGCGAAGGCAGCUCGCUGGGACGGUACUGACGCUAAGGCGCGAAAGCGUGGGGAGCGAACAGG
rnacentral:rRNA from 1 species